rnacentral:rRNA from 1 species
UACGAGUUUGAUCCUGGCUCAGAUUGAACGCUGGCGGCAUGCAUAACACAUGCAAGUCGAACGCGAAAGUCCUUCGGGCGAGUAGAGUGGCGGACGGGUGAGUAACGCGUGGGAAUCUACCCUAGAGCGGGGGACAACCCGGGGAAACCCGGGCUAAUACCGCAUACGUCCUACGGGAGAAAGAGGGCCUCUGCUUGCACGCUCUCACUCCAGGAUGAGCCCACGUCCGAUUAGCUAGUUGGUAGGGUAAAGGCCUACCAAGGCCACGAUCGGUAGCUGGUCUGAGAGGAUGAUCAGCCACACUGGGACUGAGACACGGCCCAGACUCCUACGGGAGGCAGCAGUGGGGAAUAUUGGACAAUGGGCGCAAGCCUGAUCCAGCAAUGCCGCGUGUGUGAAGAAGGCCCUUGGGUUGUAAAGCACUUUCAAUUGGGAAGAAAGGUUAGCGUGUUAAUAGCACGUAGCUGUGACGUUACCUUUAGAGGAAGCACCGGCUAACUCCGUG